AUUGAACGCUGGCGGCAUGCUUUACACAUGCAAGUCGAACGGUAACAGGCCGCAAGGUGCUGACGAGUGGCGAACGGGUGAGUAAUGCAUCGGAACGUGCCCAGUCGUGGGGGAUAACUACUCGAAAGAGUAGCUAAUACCGCAUACGAUCUAUGGAUGAAAGCGGGGGACCGUAAGGCCUCGCGCGCUUGGAGCGGCCGAUGUCAGAUUAGGUAGUUGGUGGGGUAAAGGCUCACCAAGCCAACGAUCUGUAGCUGGUCUGAGAGGACGACCAGCCACACUGGGACUGAGACACGGCCCAGACUCCUACGGGAGGCAGCAGUGGGGAAUUUUGGACAAUGGGCGCAAGCCUGAUCCAGCAAUGCCGCGUGCAGGAAGAAGGCCUUCGGGUUGUAAACUGCUUUUGUACGGAACGAAACGGCUCUGGUUAAUACCCGGGGCUAAUGACGGUACCGUAAGAAUAAGCACCGGCUAACUACGUG
rnacentral:rRNA from 1 species